CCUACGGGGGACAGCAGUGAGGAAUAUUGGGCAAUGGAGGCAACUCUGACCCAGCGACGCCGCGUGAGUGAAGAAGGUAUUCGGAUUGUAAAGCUCUUUCGGAUGUGACGAUGGUGACGGUAGCAUCUAAAGAAGCCCCGGCUAACUUCGUGCCAGCAGCCGCGGUAAUACGAAGGGGGCAAGCGUUGUUCGGAUUUACUGGGUGUAAAGGGAGAGUAGGCGGCUUAGCAAGAUCGAGGUGAAAACCCAGAGCUUAACUUUGGAAUUGCUAUUAUAACUAUUAGACUAGAAUUACAGAGAGGAUAGUGGAAUACCCAGUGUAGAGGUGAAAUUCGUAGAUAUUGGGUAGAACACCAGUGGCGAAGGCGACUAUCUGGCUGUACAUUGACGCUGAGGCUCGAAAGCAUGGGGAGCAAACAGGAUUAGAUACCCUAGUAGUC
rnacentral:rRNA from 1 species